rnacentral:rRNA from 1 species
GACUUGACAUCUCGAGAAUUCUCCCUAAUAGGAGAAGUGCCUUAGGGAACUCGAAGACAGGUGGUGCAUGGCUGUCGUCAGCUCGUGUCGUGAGAUGUUGGGUUAAGUCCCGCAACGAGCGCAACCCUCGUUCUUAGUUGCCAGCAUUAAGUUGGGCACUUUAGGAAGACUGCCGGUGACAAACCGGAGGAAGGUGGGGAUGACGUCAAGUCAGCAUGCCCCUUACGUUCUGGGCUACACACGUACUACAAUGGUUGGGACAAAGGGCAGCAAGCGAGCGAUCGCAAGCGAAUCUCAUCAAACCCAGCCUCAGUUCAGAUUGCAGGCUGCAACUCGCCUGCAUGAAGGAGGAAUCGCUAGUAAUCGCAGGUCAGCAUACUGCGGUGAAUUCGUUCCCGG